rnacentral:rRNA from 1 species
UUCCAGCUCCAAUAGCGUAUAUUAAAGUUGUUGCAGUUAAAAAGCUCGUAUUUGAAUUUUUGUCUGUUGGGGCCUUGUUCUGUCCUUAGUGGCGGAGUUUAGUGUCCCGACGGACUUCCUGGGGGCCAACUAGUUGGUGUUUCAUUACACUGAUUAGGGAACCCCCUCGUUUACUGUGAAAAAAUUAGAGUGUUUCAAGCAGGCGUUUCGCAUUGAAUACAUUAGCAUGGAAUAAUAAGAUAGGACUUUGGUGCUAUUUUGUUGGUUUGCACACCAAGGUAAUGAUUAAGAGGGACAGUUGGGGGUAUUCGUAUUAUCAUGUCAGAGGUGAAAUUCUUGGAUUUUGGUAAGACGAACUACUGCGAAAGCAUCUGCCAUGGAUGUUUUCAUCG